UACGGGGGGGGCAAGCGUUGUUCGGAAUUACUGGGCGUAAAGGGCUUGUAGGCGGCCAACUAAGUCAGACGUGAAAUCCCUCGGCUUAACCGGGGAACUGCGUCUGAUACUGGAUGGCUUGAGAUUGGGAGAGGGAUGCGGAAUUCCAGGUGUAGCGGUGAAAUGCGUAGAUAUCUGGAGGAACACCGGUGGCGAAGGCGGCAUCCUGGACCGACACUGACGCUGAGGAGCGAAAGCCAGGGGAGCAAACGGG
rnacentral:rRNA from 1 species